UGGAGGUGUGGGUGCAGGUGCUUAAGUCUGCAUGUGCACUCUGGUGGGACCGCUAUGUCCCUAUUAUGGUUGAAUGCAGCAAGCUCAAUAGUCUCUGGGAAAAAAAAAGAAAGGGGUGGGGGAAGAACAGCGGCGCAGUUAAAGCGGCAUGGUGCCAAUUAGCACGAAGCAGGCGGACAUAUGCCUCUGAAAAAUCCUGAUGAAAGUGCAUAUUGAUGUCAUAAAUUAGCCGAGCACAAUAGAUUGUUGGGGUGUUUGUGUGUAAAUGUUUAAUUAACCCGCUCGCCGACAUCGCCGCUGCGCUUUGCAACCGAGGAAUCAAUCUACUUAGCGGCCCGUUUAACAAUGCAAGGCCUGCCUUGUAUGACAUGUUCAUUGGGGACAGGCGAGCAGUUGUUAAUGUCUUGAAAUUAACAAAGCCAUUAACCCGAUGUGAUCGUUGGUCGGCUGCGGUCGUAUGUGCAGGUUGUCCAAGGACAAUAACGCCGCGUAAAACCUUGGUCUAAUUCUCUUUAUGGCUGCAGGUGAAUUAUCUGCAACUUGAUGGCCACAGACAACUUUAAAUCAGGUUGCCGCUGAUUGAGUGAGCGUUCAAACUAGCUGUGCUUAAUCAGGAAUGAAUCCUCUAAUAGGACCGUGAUUAAAUCCAAAGUAAUUGUGUCACAGCGUGAAAUGAAGCAGUUUAUUGUUCUUCCUCAGCUCUUCUUCACUAAUUGCCACAGCCACGAAGGGGACGGAAUGUUCUCAAUCGCUUUUUGUUGGUUAUUUGACAUUUUUUAGGUGUAAUUUGCUGUAUCGGCGACAAGCUGACCAGAGGGAGUUUAAGAACCAUUUUCAACUGCGCUGCGCAUGCUUUGUUCAACACAGCUUUCAUGCACUAUUGAUGCUUUUCCACUGGCAAUGCCAGGUGCUAUCAGGGCUACCACGUAGUUUACAAAUCCGCAAAAACGUUGAACUAUUGAAUUCGACAAAUCGCCUUUCUGGCAUUCCGUCUUCCCAUCCGCCAAUUUACAAAAAAAAAAAAAAAAAUUCGACUUGCUCUUCGGCUAUUGUCAUCAUUCUGUUGGACAACACGAGGGAGGGCGACACAGUUCUCAUACUGUACAUCUGCCCGGGUUAGCCUUGCUAGCUUCUGCUAUUCCGAUCGACACAACUCAAGAGAUUCAUAAGAGCGGUACUUCUGGACUAUCUGCGAUGGAGUGGGAAAGUUGUGCAAAUGUUUUGUCAAGUAAUGCACAGACAAUAAUUGGGUGGUAAUGCAACUUUAUUCAUCAUAGAAGUUGCGAGAUGCAACACACCAAUAUGGCGACACUCGUGUCGCUAAACGAAACUGACAGCAGUAUACAUUUCGACCCAAUGGAUGCCACCAGUGUUUGGAAAUAUUUGACCAAAAAUGAGACUCAAAGCAUGUUUAUCCUGAUAUACAAAACACACACACGCGCACACGCACACAAGAAAAUGUCUUUUUUUUUGUAAAGACUGCCUCCGAUUUCCCGUCUUACAUCGCGCUGCACCGGGGAACACAAACCGAGGAGACUGGCCUGGUUUGUUGGAAAUCUCCCGCUAACUAGAAAUAGCAUCAUGUGAACAGCGGGUACACCCCCAUCCACAGAUCAUAGAGGGAGGGAGCCGUGAUGACCCCAUCCCAGAGGACCCUGCUGUUUUGCCUGCAAGGGCGUGAUUAGGGUGGACUUCGUUUGCAAGUCGAUGCUGAUGUGAAGAACACGGGAUUUGGUGUCGAACUUUGCAGAUGAAAGUAGCGCGGCUGGGAUAAAAGAGCAACGCACAUCGUGCUGCAUCACAUUAGCAAGCCCGCUGCCCCGUGUCACAGAUGAUGAGAGACAAAAGAGGAGCAGAGGGAGGCAAAAACAGGUAAUUACCUUCAUACCUACACUUACGCUCCCCUCAGCUUUCAUAGUUGUGUGUAAUUAGGCCGGCCAGGUCACAGUCCCGUGAGGGCGAGCCUGAUUGAAGUGUGAAGUGUCAAAGAGACACAAGCGGACGCGAGAGCGGGAGGUGCAAGGUGGCUGCUUUUGUACCCGCGUUGGUGUUUAUGCCUCCAUAACCUCCACGCGCACACACACACACACACACAACAGGGACCCUUGCCUUUACGGCGCUCUGUGUGAUUGAUUAUUUAAUGGAAGACUCCCCAGCCUGAAUGUGAGCGCUAGCUGGCAAAUAAAGUCAAACAACAAGGGAGAGCACGAGUCUGAGGGAGGGAAAGAUCUCCAGAUGCUUUUGAAGCCAGUUGGAGUCGCCAAAGGCGAGUAACUCCUCACUCUUUCAUAUCCCGCUUUUUAAUAUUUCUUCCCCGUUAUAAUGAUGUGCUUCCUAUCCUUGAGUAAAGUUCUUCUUCGUCGCUUUUUUUUCCAGAUAUAUAUUUUUUUCUUCUCUUUGAAAUAAAUUGUCAGUAUAUAUUUAGUCUCAUAGUUUAGAGGCUUAGAGGCCAGCACGGAAAUUUGUCCUGUUAUGAAAAAGCACAUUAAUGACUUGCUGGCUAUAUCCAACAUGUUAUGAAAGUCUACAUCAGGGAUGGGCAACUUGUGGCCUUUGGGCCACGCACGGGUGAACAUGGAGUGGCCCUCCAUCAAUUUUUCACCCCCAAAAUUUUUUACCCUAGUGAGCAGUUUGACAUUGUAACAAUGACAAGUGCAGAUAUCACUCACCAGCGACUCCAACCCCCAAACUGUGGUUGUGCAUCAGUAGAAGAGCGCGCGUGUACCCAAACAACAAACAGAACCGUUGACAUUUCGUUUGAAGUGCAUGAGGAGUUA